CGCACGGGUGCGUAACGCGUAUACAAUUUACCUUACACUAAGGGAUAGCCCGAAGAAAUUUGGAUUAAUACCUUAUAGUAUUUUUAGAUCGCAUGAUUUUUAGAUUAAAGGUUACGGUGUAAGAUGAGUAUGCGUCCAAUUAGUUAGUAGGUGAGGUAACGGCUCACCUAGACGAUGAUAGGUAGGGGUCCUGAGAGGGAGGUCCCCCACACUGGUACUGAGACACGGACCAGACUCCUACGGGAGGCAGCAGUGAGGAAUAUUGGACAAUGGAAGGAAUUCUGAUCCAGCCAUGCCGCGUGCAGGAAGACUGCCCUAUGGGUUGUAAACUGCUUUUAUACAGGAAGAAAAAGACUUACGUGUAGGUCAUUGACGGUACUGUACGAAUAAGGAUCGGCUAACUCCGUGCCAGCAGCCGCGGUAAUACGGAGGAUCCAAGCGUUAUCCGGAAUCAUUGGGUUUAAAGGGUCCGUAGGCGGGAGAUUAAGUCAGUGGUGAAAGUUUGUGGCUCAACCAUAAAAUUGCCAUUGAUACUGGUUUUCUUGAGUUAUUGUGAAGUGGUUAGAAUGAGUAGUGUAGCGGUGAAAUGCAUAGAUAUUACUCAGAAUACCGAUUGCGAAGGCAGAUCACUAACAAUGAACUGACGCUGAUGGACGAAAGCGUAGGUAGCGAACAGGAUUAGAUACCCUGGUAGUCUACGCCGUAAACGAUGGUUACUAGCUGUUUGGGCUAAUUAAGGUCUGAGUGGCUAAGCGAAAGUGAUAAGU
rnacentral:rRNA from 1 species